UGGCUGUCGUACCGCGCCAUCUCCCUGUCGUCCACGUACCCAACGCCCAUGUAGCGGUUCUCCUCGCGGCCCGGGCUGUACACGGUGGUGAGGCCGUUCCCUCCCGACCCCGCACUCACCAGCCCAGAUCUCGGUCAGGGCCAGGGCCCCGGAGAGCAGCAGGAGCAGAGCUCGGGGCCCCAUGACCCAAAUUUGAACGUCUGGGGAGAGGGAUCUUAUCUGAGAGAUGACCAGGGACAUCACUGAGGGGGACAUGCAGUAACUUCCGUGGUGGACAUAACUGAGAAUGCUCAUUGACUGGAGGUGAAGUCUGCCCAGCACGCUGAACUCACUGCUCUAACUCGGAAUUGUCCCCUGGACAAAGAUUCAGUCGCCAAUGUUCACCCAGAGUCGUGUGCGCCUGGUGCAGCUGGGACUGUGUGACUGUGGGAUGAUGGGGACGUGCGGAGGCCUCUUCACUUCCUCCAGGUGGCCCAUAAAGAGGAAGACAGAGCCACCAAAACUAAACGCGACAUGUAUCCCUGGUGGGAGCACUCAACAAGCAAAGAAAAGGAGGUGUUUUGAACCAAUGGGAAAAUCCGAACCAACGUGUAGACAGAGCGGUCGAGUCACACGGACGCUGGUUUUCUCAGUCGAAGGGCAGUGCGGAUGUCGUGUAACGGUGUGUGUGGGAAACCACACCACGGGGUGUGUCAGAUGCGCACACAGGGCGCUCUCAGGUGAAGCAGAACAUACCCAUAACGAGGACUAUUUUCAGACCAACUGUGGACAAAUCAAAUACAGCAAAGCGUCACCAGUUGUAGUACUUGGGUCAGGGGGAAUUUACGUAUAUUUGAAAUGAUUUCAAACCAAGAAUUUUAAAAGUAAAAAUCAUUUCCGGGCACUGCAUUGUUUAAUUUUUAACUUGCGGUUCCUUGGUGCUAAAUAGAUUUUUUGUUGUUGUUGGCCACAAUUUCCUGGCUUUUGAAAAUGAAAGUAGUUUGUACAAUUUUAUGAGAGAAACUGUAGGUGAAAUAAAGAUCAUUUUUAUGUGAAUAAACAUGGAAACACAUCACCUAGAGAGAACCUGCACUCAAAGAAAGCUAAGGAAAGCUCUUCAUAGUAUAUACAAAUAACACAUUUACAUGAAAUACACUAAUUUACAGAAUUGGCCAUCCUGGCGAUACAUGGGUAAUCUACACUUCUAUUCCAUUUCUUAUUUUCUGGAAGAGCUAACUAGCUCAUGACAGCAGAAAUUAUAUUUCUUGUGGGGAAUAACAGAAUAAAAAUACAUGAAGUCAGUUUCUCAAAGCAUCUGAGGAGGUAUACAAUAUUACACUAAGGUAGAAUUCUUUCAUAUUCUUUGAAAUGGUCAACAGUAGUUUUAACGACACUGUGCUAACUUGGAAAUGCAUUUUAAAUGGCUACAACACCCCCUGCAAUAGAUAUAAUUUAACACCAAUAACUUACAUAAAGUAUUAAAAAUAGCAGAUUGCCACAAAAGGAAAAAAUAAAGCACCAAGAGAAAACGAAGUCCCCACUUCUAUAUUUUAUUAACUGAACUAAAAAUUCUACUAGCAAAUCAAUAAAUGGCAGCUUUGAGGCAUUUUAAUAGUGCUUCAUCCAUUCAAUCAACAAACUUCAACUUCCGCCAAGAUGGAGGCAUAGGUGGAGACGCCGUGCUUUCUCACACAACCAAGUUUAGAGACAACAAAAUAUUAGCAGCAGAAAACACAGCCAAAACACAGAAAAUUGAACUUUUUGGAAGUCUGAUAACAGUGAAUUCUUCAGCCUGACCGGUAAGAGGGGCGAAGCCAGCAGGUGGCGGAUCAGGGUUGCGCAGGAAAACUCGGUCAAAUGGACUCAGGCACGUGGUUUCCAGGCGUGGGGUUGCAAAGGGCAGACCCAGGGAGCGACCCAGUGAGCCACAGGCAGGCCCAGCCAGUGCUCAGGGUGGAAGGUUGACUGUGGUCACACAUUCCUGCACAGAUAGACCAGCUAAGGAGUGAGCAGUGAGAUGGUCUGAGCAGGCCCCAGUGGCGGGAAGUGGCAGAGAGGACCGCUGUCCUCCCCACAUACCGAGACACAACCCAGCGACCUGGGCAGCCCCCCACCCUGGUGAACAUCUAAGGCUCUGCUCCUCACACCUAAUUGGGGCGAACAGACCAAAAAUGGCUCAAGAAGAUCUCAAAGCCCCAGACCCCAUAACUCUAAGUGACGAAGAAAUAGCAAAACUUUCAGAUGCACAGUUCAAAACACUGGAGAUCAGGAUGCUCACAGAACUGGUUGAUUCUGGUCACAAAUUAGAGGAACAUAUGAAGACUAAACUAAUUGAAAUGAAGGGAAUUGCACAGGAAACUAAUAGUGAUGAAAAGGAAACUGGGACUCAAAUCAAGAGAGUGAACCAGAAGGAAGAAAAAAAUGACCAAACAGAAAAGAAUGGAAAAACAAGAAUUCAAAAAAAUGAGGAGAGACUUAGGAACCUCCAGGACAUCUUUAAAUGCUCCGAUAUCCGAAUUAUAGGGGUACCAGAAGGGGGAAAGAAACAGCCACCAGUGGAAAACUUAU